rnacentral:rRNA from 1 species
GAUCCUGGCUCAGGAUGAACGCUAGCUACAGGCUUAACACAUGCAAGUCGAGGGGCAGCGGGAUUGAAGCUUGCUUCAAUUGCCGGCGACCGGCGCACGGGUGAGUAACGUGUAUCCAACCUUCCGUACACUCAGGGAUAGCCUUUCGAAAGAAAGAUUAAUACCUGAUGGUAUCUUAAGCNCACAUGUAAUUAAGAUUAAAGAUUUAUCGGUGUACGAUGGGGAUGCGUUCCAUUAGGUAGUAGGG